ACUAGGCACAGGGCAGCAUGGUGGCCCCCCUUUAUCUGUCCUGCAUGUCGGUCCUUGCCUAAAGGAGGAGGGUUUGCCUCUGUAAGCCAGGAGCAGAGAUGCAGCCUGCAGGUGCCCGAUGGUCUCCACCUUGGCAGCCUGAAUUUCAGCUGAGCAGGUAUUGCUUGGAGCCCUGUGCCCAACGGCCUCUGAUGGAGAAGAGCCGGCUUCCUACCACUUUUUCCUUCUCUGAAUGGUCUCUCCUGCCACGGGGCUCUACCUGCAGGAGCAGGAGGACUACCAGAGAGGAGCCGAGGCUCUCCGUCACUUCUCUCUCGGACUGGGGCCUUGGCAGCCAAUCUCACCAGCUCUGGAGCUGUCUCACCACAGAACAGAGUAUUGGCUGCCGGGUCGGUGCAGACUCUCGUUCGCCUCACUUAGAGCAAGGUUAAACAAGAAGCCAGACUCACUGACCUAAACCAGUCCCAGUCCCUUUCUGGAUGCGGGGCAGCAGUCGACUAGCAGUGACACAAUCAGCCAUCAAGUGGAGACUCUCUGGGACUGCAGUCUGUGUCAGUGGGUGCCGGGGAGAAAGAAAAGGCUCCCACUUUGGCUUAUCCAAUUUGCUGCUUCUUUCCUUUUCCCAAAUAGCUACUAAUUGUGCUUGAUUUCUCAGACUAUGUUUCUAUGGCUCAGUCUAUCCACAAAGCAGUCAGCCCUUGAUCGGCUCUUGCUGGCAAUCAGGGUGCUAAGUCAGCCUGCUUUAGCAGUUGUCUCUUUUUGCGUGAUGCUAUGCAGCUAGAAUGGGUCACAUUGACAACAAAGGAGCCGGCACAAAGCCUCCCUUUAUCUCCUCGAUGGUUACAGGAGCAUAACUCUUCUCCGAUAUGAUGCCCUCCUCUUUGUGUCUCCUCCAUGGGUGUGCAUGUGGGUAUAUGUUUUAAUUCAUCUGAGUGAAGAGCCUCACAAGACAUCAUCAUGGAUGUGGGUUUUAAUGAUUUGGAAAAGACAGCCUGUGGAGACCGCCAUUUGAGACAGCAGCACAUUUAGGUUAUUGCCAAUUUGAAAUACUUGGUUUGUGAAGCUGAGCCCUAAGGGACGAGCUCAGGAACUGAAAAAGAGAUCGUAGAUAAAGAAAUAAAAAUGACAAGCAUAAUGGAGGCUCUGCAAAAGAGACUGUCAGAGCAUCAGUUCAUGGAUGGCAAUUUCACCAGCCUGAGACUGAAUAAUUCAUAGAAUGAAAUUACCCUGCUUUCACCUUUCCAUUUAAACCGGCAUGAUCUGAAUCUCUAAUAAAUUUUCAAGAUAAAGUAAAAUGCCAAUUUGAAUCUGAAGAGCUUUUAAAGCCAGAUGCUGCAUCCUGAAAUCUUUCGAUAUCUUUCACAAUUAUCCUGUGAAAACUGCACUUCAGCACGAAGCACCAUUACCAGUGAAAAUUGCUGUGAUUACAAUAGCAACAAUAGAAUACCAUCAAAUGAUCAUUCAUUUACCUAAUUUGCUAAGACUGACUGUGGUUUGAAUGCCCAUUGUGUGUCACCAAGCCUGGCAUCUGUGGAUCAAUAUCGCAAAGGAACAAAAAUGUUGCAGAGGGCACUACCUUUAACUCUGAAAGUCCAGCAGAGAAACCUCUACUAGGUAUGUUAAAGAACAAGAGGAUGUAUUCUCCAGGGAGAACAAAAGAGAUUCUCUGUCUGAUUACUGUAACUACCAGCUGAGAGCUUAAGAAUACUCCCUCUCUUUACCUCCACUGCCUGGUCUCCUUGACUUCUUCAAGAUUCAUUUUACUCCAGCCUUCUUCAGGAAGGAAGCUGUUUCCAGGCCUACCCACUCGUGUCUUCCUCCUCUGAGAUUACCUUCUAAGAUAUAUCUGGUACGUACAUAAUUAAUCAAUAAACAUUUAUUAAGUGCCUUCUACAUAUCAGUGCUGAUAAGUGCUGAGGACACACGCACACACAUGGAUGCAAAAUGCAACCCUAGACUCUAGCACUCAAGUCUAAUGGAAGUGACAAUAAGCAAACAAAGAUGUACAAAUAGGGGCAUAUACAUUAUAUAGUGGAUGGAGUACUGACCUUCAGGUCAAAAAGAUCUGAGUUCAAAUGUGGUCUCAGACACUUG